rnacentral:tRNA from 1 species
UGUCGGCGAGCGCCCGGUGACGGCGCGCCACCUCGUCGGUGGCCGGGGCCGGGUGUCCGCGUCGUUCCGGGCCGGCGGCGGGCGCC